rfam:Microdochium bolleyi strain J235TASD1 unplaced genomic scaffold Micbo1qcscaffold_3, whole genome shotgun sequence.
GGUCUUGUGGCCUAAUGGCAAGGCGUCAGAUUUCGGUACACCGUAAUCCACACGGCAAACCCUCGGGUUAGCUGAACACUCUGAAGAUUCUGGGUUCGAUCCCCAGCGAGAUCG